rnacentral:rRNA from 1 species
UAGUCCACGCUGUAAACGAUGAGUGCAAGGUGUUGGGGGUCAAACCUCGGUGCCGCCGUUAACACAGUAAGCACUCCGCCUGGGGAGUACGUACGCAAGUAUGAAACUCAAAGGAAUUGACGGGGACCCGCACAAGUAGCGGAGCAUGUGGUUUAAUUCGAUGCAACGCGAAGAACCUUACCAGGGCUUGACAUAAAAGUGACGAGGGAUAGAGAUAUACCUUUUCUCUUCGGAGACAGUUCUAC